rnacentral:rRNA from 1 species
UACGGAGGGCGCAAGCGUUGUUCGGAAUCACUGGGCGUAAAGCGCGUGUAGGCGGCUUGGCAAGUCGGGUGUGAAAGCCCGGAGCUCAACUCCGGAACUGCAUUCGAGACUGCCGCGCUCGAGUCCCGUAGAGGGUGGUGGAAUUCCCGGUGUAGAGGUGAAAUUCGUAGAUAUCUGGAGGAACACCAGUGGCGAAGGCGGCUACCUGGACGGAGACUGACACUGAGGCUCGAAAGCGUGGGUAGCAAACAGG